rnacentral:rRNA from 1 species
UGAGGAAUAUUGGGCAAUGGGCGCAAGCCUGACCCAGCCAUGCCGCGUGCAGGAAGAAGGCGCUAUGCGUUGUAAACUGCUUUUGUACGGGGCGAAACUCUCCGAUGUAUCGGAGACUGACAGUACUGUACGAAUAAGCAUCGGCUAACUCCGUGCCAGCAGCCGCGGUAAUACGGAGGAUGCAAGCGUUAUCCGGAUUCACUAGGUUUAAAGGGUGCGUAGGCGGAAUAAUAAGUCAGCGGUGAAAGCCUGUAGCUUAACUACAGAAUUGCCAUUGAUACUGUUGUUCUUGAGUACAGUUGAGGUGGGCGGAAUGUGUCAUGUAGCGGUGAAAUGCAUAGAUAUGACACAGAACACCUAUUGCGAAGGCAGCUCGCUAAACUGUUACUGACGCUGAGGCACGAAAGCGUAGGGAGCAAACAGG